UGGAUAGCUCAGUCUGUAGAGCAUGAAACACUUAAUCUCACAGUUGUGGGUUCAAGUCCCACAUUGGACAA